UUAAAUUAUCUAUAUGUAUAUAUAUAUCCAUUUCCCACUGUCAGUUUCCUCCACCGCAUGUCAUCAUCACCGUUGCUGUCACCACUGUCUAAAAACAUCGUCAGCACUGAUAGAUCUUGAAGCCACACAGAGAUUCUCCACCUUCUCAUUCCUCCACCGUCUAGUAGAUCUUGAAGCCAUGUCCUAAACGUCCAUCUAAAAAGACGUUUCUGGAUAUGAUUCUAGUAAUGGUUAAUUUUGAAGCCGCGAUAGAUCUUAAAGCCAACAUUGAUUUCCAUGCUGCUGACCCAUUUAUAAUGUUAUAAAUCUUUUGUUCUUGAUAUUAAUGGGUUUUUUCUUGUGCUGUAGUACUUUGCUUCUAGGUUGUUAAUGGGUUUGUUCCUUUUUUUUUUUUUUUGAGGAAAUUACAUCCCAUAUGCUUUUUAAAAAAAAUAAAUAAUUACAAAACUAUCUCCAGUUUUAAUUCUUUAUAUUUUUACUCUUU
rnacentral:lncRNA from 1 species